CAACAGGGAUUGCCCUAGUAACGGCGAGUGAAGCGGCAACAGCUCAAAUUUGAAAUCUGGCUCUUUCAGAGUCCGAGUUGUAAUUUGCAGAGGGCGCUUUGGCUUUGGCAGCGGUCCAAGUUCCUUGGAACAGGACGUCACAGAGGGUGAGAAUCCCGUACGUGGUCGCUAGCUAUUGCCGUGUAAAGCCCCUUCGACGAGUCGAGUUGUUUGGGAAUGCAGCUCUAAAUGGGAGGUAAAUUUCUUCUAAAGCUAAAUAUUGGCCAGAGACCGAUAGCGCACAAGUAGAGUGAUCGAAAGAUGAAAAGCACUUUGGAAAGAGAGUCAAACAGCACGUGAAAUUGUUGAAAGGGAAGCGCUUGCAGCCAGACUUGCUUGCAGUUGCUCAUCCGGGCUUUUGCCCGGUGCACUCUUCUGCAGGCAGGCCAGCAUCAGUUUGGGCGGUGGGAUAAAGGUCUCUGUCAUGUACCUCUCUUCGGGGAGGCCUUAUAGGGGAGGCGACAUACCACCAGCCUAGACUGAGGUCCGCGCAUCUGCUAGGAUGCUGGCGUAAUGGCUGUAAGCGGCCCGUCUUGAAACACGGACCAAGGAGUCUAACAUCUAUGCGAGUGUUUGGGUGUCAAGCCCGAGCGCGUAAUGAAAGUGAACGGAGGUGGGAACCCGCAAGGGUGCACCAUCGACCGAUCCUGAAGUUUACGGAAGGAUUUGAGUAAGAGCAUGGCUGUUGGGACCCGAAAGAUGGUGAACUAUGCUUGAAUAGGGUGAAGCCAGAGGAAACUCUGGUGGAGGCUCGCAGCGGUUCUGACGUGCAAAUCGAUCGUCAAAUUUGGGCAUAGGGGCGAAAGACUAAUCGAACU
rnacentral:rRNA from 2 species